AUGACUGAAGAAUUAUUAUCUAAAGAAAAAGAAUUUCAUCAGUUGAAUAAAGAACUUGAGCAGAAAGCAAGCAAUUUGAUAGCAAAAAUAGAUUCUGUUGUUAACACUUACAAUAACGGAUGCUCGAAUCUUAAUUCGAGGAAACAUUGCGUAAAUGCGACGAGAGAAAGAACAGCCUGUUUAAAUGGUAUAACAAUACAAAAUAAAGAUAAUUUUCAGAUUUUGGUUAAACGAAAUUCAUCUUUACCUCAUAUUUUCGAUCAAUCCGUUGCUUUGAAGCCAAAAAUAGAAUCACAGAAAGAUAACGAGGAUGAAGUUUCUAAGCAAAAGAACCUGGCAAAUAAAACUGUUCUCAAUUUCUUAAAAGCUAAGGUAGAUAUAUUACAGGAUGAGCUACAAACAAUGCGAAUUGAAUAUAGAAAACAGUGUGAUAUUUGCAAAAAUUUGGAAUCUGAAAAUAACAAGAUUGAAAUUAAGUUAAAAGCUGAAAUAGAGUCAUUAAAAGAAACAAUUACAAAAUUAGAGAACACUAACAAGGAGUUGCACUGUCAAUCACAAGCAUUAAAUACAGAAAAUUCAAUCUUAAAAAAAGACUUAGAUAGACUUCAAAAGCAAGUAAAGAUAACAAAUCAACAGUCUAAUAGUUGCUUGAUGAGAUUAAAUAGAUCUUUGGAAAAUAAUGAUAAACUUAAGAAUGCAUUGAAAUAUUCUGAAGUAGAAGAAAAGGAAUUGAAGACCCAAAUUAGAAAGCUAGAAGAAGAUAGAAAAUUAACAGCUAAUCACUUGGGAAAGCAACUUUCGGAAUUAAUACAAGUGUUUAAAAAACAAAUGUUAAUUGUAGAUAACUUAAAGAAGCAAAAUGCAUGCUUACUGGCAGUUGGACAACUAAAAUUAAUUAAAGAAGAUUUCUCAAGAUUAUUGGAUCAGAAACCUGAAAAUAUAUGAUAUAUUGUAUAUAAAACAUUUAUUAAAUGACUACUGCAAUUCAUACAUUGCAAAAGAUGGAAUAACUUCAUUUCAUAGCCAUACAUUUUAUACAAUUUUAUAUUACAUGAUAUAAUCCUUAAUAUUUUUUAUGAAAAUCUGUGUUCUUUAAUACAUUACCUGUCAUACAUGAAAUUUGAAAGUUUUGUGAUCUACCUUAACAUCUCUUUUUUUGUUUUUAUUUAUCUUAUAUCUGGGACAUUUCUAGCAUUUUUAACAUAUACGUAAUAAAUAAGUUAUAUCUAAAAUAUCAAUAGAAUUUUGAAUACAAAAUGUCAAUGUCAUACAAAUGUCAAAUGAAGUAUGUCAAGUAUAAACAUUAGUCUAAUUAUAGAAAUCAUAUUUUUUUAUAUUCGUUUAAUAUUAAAAAGUAAUGUCAUUUAGAAUUACAAAGAGAUACAAAACUAAUUUCCAUCAUAACCGAGAUGAAUUUAUUUUAUUCAAAACAAUUUUCAAUAACUUACUCAAUUUAUUUACACUUAAGUCCUAUUUUGUGCAUAAAAAAUUUGAUUAAGAAUGAUAAAUUUCGGUUAGUACGUAUAAAAAUUCACAAAAUUAAUUGAAUUCAUCUCAAAGUUUAAUCUUCAAACGUCUCAGAGAACACUGACUAUUUUUUUAUCAAAUGAAUUUUACAGAUUUUUAUUUUAUAUCCUCGCUUAAACAAUAUAUGUACUAUCGUAUAUUUUCUACGCUUAUAAAAGCAGCUCGACAUAUUCUAAAUACUAUCACUUGAAAUUAGUUAAAUAAUAUCAAGUGUCACAAAAAAGUGAACGAAGAUGAUAUAUGUUUGUAUUUUCCGUUUAACCAUUUCUGCGCAAUCUAACUUGAAUAAUGUUGUUUUAGUGUUUUACUAUUUAAAUCUCUAAUAUGUUCUGUUUAAUAAAAUAUAUUAAAUUAAUUGUUUUCUUUCUCUCUUUCUCGUUCUCUCUCGCACUCGCACUUAAUACGAAGAUGCUAUUCUCAAAUGCUUAUAACUCUUUCCCCCAUUUUUGAUGCCCCUCUCCUUUUUAUAAUUACGAUAACGUUCCGUUUAAAAUUCUUAUUUUAUAACCCUUUUACACAUUGCGUUUUACAACUCAGCCUCACAUAUAUGUAUAUAUCGAAAUUUGCUAUCCUUAUUAAAAUUAAAAGCACUGAUACAUUAACAAUUUCCAUAUUUAAUUCACUGCUUGAGUUUAUAUUUAAAAUUAUACUGCACCGCAGAUUUUCGCAUUAUUUCAUAUUGCACUUUAAAUAUUCAAUUUAUUUUAGUCUCUAGAAAGUUUCAUGUUUAAUAAAAUAUUUAAAUAAUUGGUAUCAUAAAGUUGAUAAAUCUAUCGCCGAUCAGAGAAAAACAAAUCAUAAAUUAAAGUACAUUCCUUAUUUUUGAAAGUCUUUAUAUGAAAUAUCACUUUUCCAAUUAAUUUUUACUAUAAAUCAACUUCAAAAUAAUCAUAUGAAUCUUCAAAUUUUAUGUCAUAAUAAAAAUUUACGUAACCAUUACUCCUAAAAACAUAGAUUGACUUUUAUAUUAUUAGGGUAAACUUUUUUAUUCACUGGUAUAAAAUUUUUUCCGUUAUACACGUAAUUAUUAAUUAAACCUCUCGACUGUUGCAUUAAAAUGCAUUACUAUCUAUGUGUUUAAAUUCAUGUGUUUCAUAUUAUGUUAUAAUACAAAUAAUUAAUGAAAUUACGUUUCUUUCUUACUUUGUAAGCUCGUAAAAAUUAUACACGAACAAUGCACUUUAUAUUAUUCGAAGGAAAACAGAAAAGGAGAAAAAAUAAUAAUAAAAGGAAAUGGUGCAUGCCCAGCCUUUCAUCCUCGUUUGUUAAUAUGUGUCUUAUAAUAUAUGUUAAAUUUGUUUGAAACAUUAUUUUACUUACAGAGUGUUUUAUUCAUCUCACUCUUAUCACGCUUAAUACUAGAUUUUCUCGCUCUUUUUUCUCUUUUCUUCUAUUUAUUUUUACGAGUUUAUAAUUUCGAAAACAAUAUUUUUUUUAUUGUUCUUUGCAAGGUUAUGAAUGUAAAAGUUAGAUUCGUGCAUUUUUCGUUUCACAACACGAUAUCGUAUCAAAAAUCAGUAACACUUGAAUUUACGUCAAAGGCGGCGUAGACAGUAAUACAUCUAGCAGCUUGACUAUGAAAUGAUUUUAUUAACGUAUUAUAAAAACCAGACUCUAAAUGCGACCAGAGGGACAACAUGGUACAAGGGCAUCCAUGUACAAGGAGAAUGUAUGAGAUUCAAAUUCGAGACUUAAAUAAAUAUUGUGACAAUAUCUAGCAAUGACAUUGGACAGUCAUCUUUCGUUCGCGUGUAUGGUUGCUGCUGUAUCGUUGUCGUAGAUCAACUUGAUCAUGCCAGGUAGCUAUAUGUGUCCUUUUGACCCUCUGUGCGCUCCAGAUAUUCUUUCUCAAUUAAAAUAUCUAUACAUUUCUGAAAGAGUAGAAUCAUCUUAUAUUAAGGUUAUAUCUUUUUCAUUUUAAUUUAUUUUCUCAAAUAUUUCUAUUCAUCGAUAUCAUGUUAUGAUAAAUCAAUAUAAGAAAAAAUACACGUUUACAUAUGUUAAAAAAUUAUUCGCAUAUAUUUAUAUAUGUGAAAAUGUCUUAAAAAACAAUGUCGUUUAUACGUACCUUAAUAACAUGUACUCUUGGUUUGAACCUAGAGCUUAAUUGAUUCAA